rnacentral:rRNA from 1 species
CCUACGGGAGGCAGCAGUGGGGAAUAUUGGACAAUGGGGGGAACCCUGAUCCAGCGACGCCGCGUGAGUGAAGAAGUAUUUCGGUAUGUAAAGCUCUAGCAGCAGGGAAGAAAAUGACGGUACCUGACUAAGAAGCCCCGGCUAACGACGGGCCAGCAGCCGCGGUAAUACGUAGGGGGCAAGCGUUAUCCGGAUUGACUGGGUGUAAAGGGAGCGUAGACGGUGCAGCAAGUCUGAUGUGAAAGGUCGGGGCCCAACCCCGGGACUGCCUUGGAAACUGUUGAACUGGAGUACAGGAGUGGUAAGCGGCAUUCCUCGUGUAGCGGUGACAUGCGUAGUUAUUAGGAGGCACCCCAGUGGCGAAGGCGGCUUACUGGACUGUACCUGACGUUGCGGCUCG